rnacentral:rRNA from 1 species
AUUGAACGCUGGCGGAAUGCUUUACACAUGCAAGUCGAGCGGCAGCGCGGGGCAACCUGGCGGCGAGCGGCGAACGGGUGAGUAAUGUAUCGGAACGUGUCCUGUCGUGGGGGAUAGCCCGGUGAAAACCGGAUUAAUACCGCAUACGAUCGAGAGAUGAAAAUGGGGGACCGCAAGGCCUCACGCGAUAGGAGCGGCCGAUAUCUGAUUAGCUAGUUGGUGGGGUAAAGGCCCACCAAAGCUUCGAUCAGUAGCUGGUCUGAGAGGAUGAUCAGCCACACUGGGACUGAGACACGGCCCAGACUCCUAGGGGAGGCAGCAGUGGGGAAUAUUGGACAAUGGGCGCAAGCCUGAUCCAGCCAUACCGCGUGGGUGAAGAAGGCCUUCGGGUUGUAAAGCCCUUUUGUUGGGAAAGAAAUCCAGCCGGCUAAUACCUGGUUGGGAUGACGGUACCCAAAGAAUAAGCACCGGCUAACUUCGUGCCAGCCGCCGCCGUAA